GACGAACGCUGGCGGCGUGCUUAACACAUGCAAGUCGAACGGAGUGUCGAACGGGUGAGUAACACGUAGGUGAUCUGCCCCGCACUCCGGGAUAAGCUUGGGAAACUGGGUCUAAUACCGGAUAGUGCAAGAUGAGGUCGCGGCCUAUCAGCUUGUUGGGGGGGUAUUGACCUACCAAGGCGUCGACGGGUAGCCGGCCUGAGAGGGUGUACGGCGCCCAUGGGGCUGAGAGACGGGCCAGACGCCUACGGGAGGCAGCAGUGGGUAAUAUUGCACAAUGGGCGGCAGCCUGAUGCAGCGACGCCGCGUGGGUGAUGAAGGCCUUCGGGUUGUGAACGCCUUUCGACAAGUACGCGGUACCUGGAUAAGAAGCACCGGCUAACUACGUGCCAGCAGCCGCGGUAAUUC
rnacentral:rRNA from 1 species